rnacentral:rRNA from 1 species
GGCUCAGGAUGAACGCUGGCGGCGUGCCUAAUACAUGCAAGUCGAGCGAAUUGACAGAGAUGCUUGCAUCUCUCGAUUUUAGCGGCGGACGGGUGAGUAACACGUGGGUAACCUACCUAUAAGACUGGGAUAACUUCGGGAAACCGGAGCUAAUACCGGAUAAUAUUUAGCUUCGCAUGAAGCAAUAGUGAAAGACGGUUUUGCUGUCACUUAUAGAUGGACCUGCGGUGUAUUAGCUAGUUGGUGAGGUAAUGGCUCACCAAGGCAACGAUACAUAGCCGACCUGAGAGGGUGAUCGGCCACACUGGGACUGAGACACGGCCCAGACUCCUACGGGAGGCAGCAGUAGGGAAUCUUCCGCAAUGGACGAAAGUCUGACGGAGCAACGCCGCGUGAGUGAAGAAGGUUUUCGGAUCGUAAAACUCUGUUGUAAGGGAAGAACAAGUACGUUAGUAAC